rnacentral:rRNA from 1 species
UACAGAGGUCUCAAGCGUUGUUCGGAUUCAUUGGGCGUAAAGGGUGCGUAGGCGGUGCGGUAAGUCGGGUGUGAAAUCUCGGAGCUUAACUCCGAAACUGCAUUCGAUACUGCCGUGCUUGAGGACUGGAGAGGAGACUGGAAUUUACGGUGUAGCGGUGAAAUGCGUAGAUAUCGUAAGGAAGACCAGUGGCGAAGGCGGGUCUCUGGACAGUUCCUGACACUGAGGCACGAAAGCUGGGGGAGCGAACGGG